GAACGAUAAAAAUUAAAGGAGAAAGAGGAGAGGAGGGAGGUUCAAUAAAUGAGUUCACGAUGGCGGGCAUGUCGAUUAACUUGGUUCUUUCAAUAGAGAAGUGCUAGAUCGGAAAGAAUUCUGAUUAAAGUCUUAUAAAUCCAGAUCUGGUAUACGUGGCUUGCAGCUGAUGCCUUGACAGGACAGGCUGGAGAAGGGGGGCAAGAAUUAAGUUCUCUACCCCACAUAGUUGGGGUAAAAAACGGCGAUGCAUGAAAUUAUCAAAGUUUCAAUUGAAUUUAGAAAACAAU
rnacentral:misc_RNA from 1 species